CGGCGUCCACCCCGGUGUUGUCCCCUUGCCUCACUGGCCUGAAAAACACAAGGCGAUGCCUGAGCUCCUCUUUCGUGCACCCUCUGGUUGCGAGGUCGGCCAGUAGGGCUUCCUCCGCCGUGUGCUUGCGGCAACGCCUGCUCGGCAGUCCCCGCCUGCGCGUGGACGCUUGCCGCUGCUCUCCUGGCUGCAGCCUGGCCCUGCUGUCGUUCCCAUGGGGUCAGGGCACGCAAGGUGCGAGAGCCGUCUAGGGGCCGUGCCAAGACCCUCCACGGGUGGGAGGGCGAGCAGCAGGGGGAAGCCCCGAGAUGGGAGGGCAGCAGGGGCAAGGCCCUGCCUCCGGAGGGCGAGGGGGCGGACCAGGCCGGAGCAUGCCAGGCUGCCUGGUCCUGGGACCCGCCAAGGGAAUGGGCUGGCCUGGCCCCGUACCUGAAAGCUGCUGGCUCGCAUCCGAGGAAAGCAGGGCCGAUGCUGGCUUCCUUCAGAAGCUGCUUGAGCUGCAAAGGGGAGGGGAUUCACAAUUAAGGCACGGCACUGCCCUGCUCCUGCACACCUGCCGCCCCCCGAGGCCCGCAGGCCCCCUGGCCGUGGCAGAGCGGUGGGCUGCUUACCAAGGUGGCCAUGACUCUCUGGGUAGUGUUGAGCUUUGCGGAGUGAGGAAUUGCCAGGUCGGAAUUGUAGGGGAGAUUGGUGAUGGUGAAGUUGAUGGUGAAGCGCUCAAGGGCGGGAACUGUUGUCUGUGUGGGGCUGGCAGCUGCAAGGAGCACAGACGCGGAAUGAAAAGGUGCAAGAGCCAGGGCGUGAAGGCUUUGGGUGGAGAAACGCCAAGGUCUCGCACCAGCCCGCGCUCCUUCCUGGCGCUGCUCUCGAGGGGGAAGGUCAGCGUGCUCCCCGCUUCCCCCAGGCAUCACCAGCCUUGGCCCCCGGCUGCCUCAGCCAGGCAGGGAGACCCGCGAGAAACCCGCGGCCUUUGGACGCCAGCCUUCCCCUCAGAGCUACUCACAUGGCAGGACUGGCUGUUCGUUGUAACCUGCAAAGAGAGAGCGAGUCAUGAGCUGGAGCUGGCACCGGGGCCCGGGGACUGGGAAAGGCUGCUACGCAAGGCUGCUGCAGGAAAGCAGAGGAGGUGGGGAGGCCUAGGUGCU
rnacentral:lncRNA from 1 species